AUACGUAGGGUGCGAGCGUUGUCCGGAAUUACUGGGCGUAAAGAGCUCGUAGGUGGUUUGUCGCGUCGUCUGUGAAAUUCCGGGGCUUAACUCCGGGCGUGCAGGCGAUACGGGCAUAACUUGAGUACUGUAGGGGAGACUGGAAUUCCUGGUGUAGCGGUGAAAUGCGCAGAUAUCAGGAGGAACACCGGUGGCGAAGGCGGGUCUCUGGGCAGUAACUGACGCUGAGGAGCGAAAGCAGGGGUAGCGAACAGGAUUAGAUUCCCUGGUAGUCCAUGCCGUAAGCGGUGGGCGCUAGGUGUAGGGGCCCUCCACGACUUCUGUGCCGUAGCUAACGCAUUAAGCGCCCCGCCUGGGGAGUACGGCCGCAAGGCUAAAACUCAAAUGAAUUGACGGGG
rnacentral:rRNA from 1 species